UACGUAGGGAGCAAGCGUUGUCCGGAAUCAUUGGGCGUAAAGCGCGCGUAGGCGGCCCUGUAAGUCCGUUGUGAAAGUCAAAGGCUCAACCUUUGAAAGCCGAUGGAUACUGCAGGGCUGGAGUCCGGAAGAGGCGAGUGGAAUUCCUGGUGUAGCGGUGGAAUGCGCAGAUAUCAGGAGGAACACCGGUGGCGAAGGCGCCACUCUGGGCCGGUACUGACGCUGAGGAGCGAAAGCGUGGGGAGCGAACAGG
rnacentral:rRNA from 1 species